rnacentral:rRNA from 1 species
CGUAAAACCCUGUUGUUAGAGAAGAAAGUGCGUGAGAGUAACUGUUCACGUUUCGACGGUAUCUAACCAGAAAGCCACGGCUAACUACGUGCCAGCAGCCGCGGUAAUACGUAGGUGGCAAGCGUUAUCCGGAUUUAUUGGGCGUAAAGGGAACGCAGGCGGUCUUUUAAGUCUGAUGUGAAAGCCUUCGGCUUAACCGGAGUAGUGCAUUGGAAACUGGGAGACUUGAGUGCAGAAGAGGAGAGUGGAACUCCAUGUGUAGCGGUGAAAUGCGUAGAUAUAUGGAAGAACACCAGUGGCGAAAGCGGCUCUCUGGUCUGUAACUGACGCUGAGGUUCGAAAGCGUGGGUAGCAAACAGGAUUAGAUACCCUGGU